GGGCGCUUAGCUCAGUUGGCUAGAGCACUGCCCUUACAUGGCAGGUGUCACAGGUUCGAAUCCUGUAGCGCUCA
rnacentral:tRNA from 1 species